rnacentral:rRNA from 1 species
GCAGCAUGGUAGGUAGCAAUACUUAUUGAUGGCGACCGGCGCACGGGUGAGUAACGCGUAUGCAACUUACCUAUCAGAGGGGGAUAGCCCGGCGAAAGUCGGAUUAAUACUCCAUAAAACAGGGGUCCCGCAUGGGAAUAUUUGUUAAAGAUUUAUCGCUGAUAGAUAGGCAUGCGUUCCAUUAGGCAGUUGGCGGGGUAACGGCCCACCAAACCGACGAUGGAUAGGGGUUCUGAGAGGAAGGUCCCCCACAUUGGUACUGAGACACGGACCAAACUCCUACGGGAGGCAGCAGUGAGGAAUAUUGGUCAAUGGCCGAGAGGCUGAACCAGCCAAGUCGCGUGAAGGAUGAAGGAUCUAUGGUUUGUAAACUUCUUUUAUAGGGGAAUAAAGUGUGGGACGUGUUCCAUUUUGUAUGUACCCUAUGAAUAAGCAUCGGCUAACUCCGUGCCAGCAGCCGCGGUAAUACGGAGGAUGCGAGCGUUAUCCGGAUUUAUUGGGUUUAAAGGGUGCGUAGGUGGUAAUUUAAGUCAGCGGUGAAAGUUUGUGGCUCAACCAUAAAAUUGCCGUUGAAACUGGGUUACUUGAGUGUGUUUGAGGUAGGCGGAAUGCGUGGUGUAGCGGUGAAAUGCAUAGAUAUCACGCAGAA